GUACGGGAGGCAGCAAUUAGGAAUCUUGCGCAAUGGGGGAAACCCUGACGCAGCGACGCCGCGUGAAGGAUGACGGCCUUCGGGUUGUAAACUUCUUUUAAGGGGGAAGAAACAAAUGACGGUACCCCUUGAAUAAGCCCCGGCUAACUACGUGCCAGCAGCCGCGGUAAUACGUAGGGGGCGAGCGUUGUCCGAAGUUACUGGGCGUAAAGCGCGCGUAGGCGGGCUAUUAAGUUGGAUGUGAAAUCUCCACGGCUUAACCGGGAAACCGCAUCCAAAACUGAUAGCCUUGAGGUAUGGAGAGGGAAGUGGAAUUCCUGGUGUAGCGGUGAAAUGCGUAGAUAUCAGGAGGAACACCCGUGGCGAAGGCGGCUUCCUGGCCAUAUCCUGACGCUGAGGUGCGAAAGCUAGGGGAGCGAACGGGAUUAGAUACCCGUGUAGUCCU
rnacentral:rRNA from 1 species